UACGGGGGGGGCAAGCGUUGUUCGGAAUUACUGGGCGUAAAGGGCUCGUAGGCGGCCAACUAAGUCAGACGUGAAAUCCCUCGGCUUAACCGGGGAACUGCGUCUGAUACUGGAUGGCUUGAGUUUGGGAGAGGGAUGCGGAAUUCCAGGUGUAGCGGUGAAAUGCGUAGAUAUCUGGAGGAACACCGGUGGCGAAGGCGGCGUCCUGGACCAACACUGACACUGAUGAGCGAAAGCCAGGGGAGCAAACGGG
rnacentral:rRNA from 1 species